rnacentral:rRNA from 1 species
AGGGAAUCUUCCACAAUGGACGAAAGUCUGAUGGAGCAACGCCGCGUGAGUGAUGAAGGUUUUCGGAUCGUAAAGCUCUGUUGCCAGGGAAGAACGCUCAGGAGAGUAACUGCUCCUGAGGUGACGGUACCUGAGAAGAAAGCCCCGGCUAACUACGUGCCAGCAGCCGCGGUAAUACGUAGGGGGCAAGCGUUGUCCGGAAUUAUUGGGCGUAAAGCGCGCGCAGGCGGUUCAUUAAGUCUGGUGUUUAAGGCAAUGGCUCAACCAUUGUUCGCACCGGAAACUGGUGAACUUGAGUGUAGGAGAGGAAAGUGGAAUUCCACGUGUAGCGGUGAAAUGCGUAGAGAUGUGGAGGAACACCAGUGGCGAAGGCGACUUUCUGGCCUAUAACUGACGCUGAGGCGCGAAAGCGUGGGGAGCAAAC